rnacentral:rRNA from 1 species
AUUGAACGCUGGCGGCAUGCCUUACACAUGCAAGUCGAACGGUAACAGGUCUUCGGAUGCUGACGAGUGGCGAACGGGUGAGUAAUACAUCGGAACGUGCCUAGUAGUGGGGGAUAACUACUCGAAAGAGUGGCUAAUACCGCAUGAGAUCUACGGAUGAAAGCAGGGGAUCGCAAGACCUUGUGCUACUAGAGCGGCCGAUGGCAGAUUAGGUAGUUGGUGGGAUAAAAGCUUACCAAGCCGACGAUCUGUAGCUGGUCUGAGAGGACGAUCAGCCACACUGGGACUGGGACACGGCCCAGAGUCCUACGGGAGGCAGCAGUGGGGAAUUUUGGACAAUGGGCGCAAGCCUGAUCCAGCAAUGCCGCGUGCAGGAUGAAGGCCUUCGGGUUGUGAACUGCUUUUGUACGGAACGAAAAGCCCUGGGUUAAUACCCUGGGGUCAUGACGGUACCGUAAGAAUAAGCACCGGCUAACUACGUGCCAGCAGCCGCGGUAACAC